AAGUCGUAACAAGGUUUCCGUAGGUGAACCUGCGGAAGGAUCAUUUCCAAAUACCGGGAGUUCGCUCCCCAAAUGAGAUUGCCCCAUAAAGCAAAGCUUUUUCGGGGCUUCUCAAAAUCUGCCUGUUGUAUUGUUUGACAAAAUUACAUGUUAUAAUACAUAACAACUUUUAACAAUGGAUCUCUUGGCUCUU
rnacentral:misc_RNA from 1 species